rnacentral:rRNA from 1 species
GUAUGGUGCAAGCGUUAUCCGGAUUUACUGGGUGUAAAGGGAGCGUAGACGGAGUGGCAAGUCUGAUGUGAAAACCCGGGGCUCAACCCCGGGACUGCAUUGGAAACUGUCAAUCUAGAGUACCGGAGAGGUAAGCGGAAUUCCUAGUGUAGCGGUGAAAUGCGUAGAUAUUAGGAGGAACACCAGUGGCGAAGGCGGCUUACUGGACGGUAACUGACGUUGAGGCUCGAAAGCGUGGGGAGCAAACAGGAUUAGAUACCCUGGUAGUCCACGCCGUAAACGAUGACUACUAGGUGUCGGGCAGCAAAGCUGUUCGGUGCCGCAGCAAACGCAAUAAGUAGUCCACCUGGGGAGUACGUUCGCAAGAAUGAAACUCAA